GCGGUAAUUGCAACACAUUUUACGCCCCUGCUAGGGGAGUAGGCCGGGAAACCGGCGCGAGGGUUCAAAUCCCUCCUUCCGCG
rnacentral:tRNA from 1 species